rnacentral:rRNA from 1 species
ACUCCUACGGGAGGCAGCAGUGGGGAAUUUUGGACAAUGGGCGCAAGCCUGAUCCAGCCAUGCCGCGUGCGGGGAAGAAGGCCUUCGGGUUGUAAACCGCUUUGUCAGGGAAGAAAGGUUCUGGCUAAUACCUGGGGACUCAUGACGGUACCUGAAGAAUAAGCACCGGCUAACUACGUGCCAGCAGCCGCGGUAAUACGUAGGGUGCAAGCGUUAAUCGGAAUUACUGGGCGUAAAGCGUGCGCAGGCGGUUAUGCAAGACAGAGGUGAAAUCCCCCGGGCUCAACCUGGGAACUGCCUUUGUGACUGCAUAGCUAGAGUGCGGCAGAGGGGGAUGGAAUUCCGCGUGUAGCAGUGAAAUGCGUAGAUAUGCGGAGGAACACCGGAUGGCGAAGGCAAUCCCCUGGGCCUGCACUGACGCUCAUGCACGAAAGCGUGGGGAGCAAACAGGAUUAGAUACCCCUGGUAGCGACUGA